rnacentral:rRNA from 1 species
GGAGUUAGCCGGUGCUUCUUCUGCGAGUAACGUCACAGAUGUAAGGUAUUAACUUACACCCUUUCCUCCUCGCUGAAAGUGCUUUACAACCCGAAGGCCUUCUUCACACACGCGGCAUGGCUGCAUCAGGGUUUCCCCCAUUGUGCAAUAUUCCCCACUGCUGCCUCCCGUAGGAGUCUGGGCCGUGUCUCAGUCCCAGUGUGGCUGAUCAUCCUCUCAGACCAGCUAGGGAUCGUCGCCUAGGUGAGCCUUUACCUCACCUACUAGCUAAUCCCACCUGGGCUUAUCCAUCAGCGCAAGGCCCGAAGGUCCCCUGCUUUCCCCCGUAGGGCGUAUGCGGUAUUAGCAGUCGUUUCCAACUGUUAUCCCCCACAAAUGAGCAAAUUCCCAGGCAUUACUCACCCGUCCGCCGCUCGUCAUCUCAAAGACAGCUUUAGUAAUAGUUACCGUCUCGUACUUGCAUGUGUUAGGUCCUCGCCGCCACGCGUUCAUACUAAGACCAGAAUACAACUACUCGA